rnacentral:rRNA from 1 species
CUCGUAAAAACUCUAGUUGUUUAAAGAAGAACAUAUCUGAGAGUAACUGUUCACGGUAUUUGACGGUAUUUAACCAGAAAGCCCACGGCUAACUACGUGCCAGCAGCCGCGGUAAUACGUAGGUGGCAAGCGUUGUCCGGAUUUAUUAGGGCGUAAAGCGAGCGCAGGCGGUUUUAAGUCUGAUGUGAAAGCCUUCGGCUCAACCGAACGAAGUGCAUCGGAAACUGGGAAACGUUGAGUGCAGAAGAGGACAGUGGAACUCCAUGUGUAGCGGUGAAAUGCGUAGAUAUAUGGUAAGAACACCACGUGGCGAAGGCGGCUGUCUGGUCUGUAACUGACGCUGAGGCUCGAAAGUAUGGGUAGCAAACAGGAUUAGAUACCCUGGUAG